ACCCAUGCAGUCGACGGAAGGCCCUGCUUUUGUGGGGUGCUCGAGUGGCGAACGGGUGAGUAACACGUGAGUAACCUGCCCUUGACUUUGGGAUAACUUCAGGAAACUGGGGCUAAUACCGGAUAGGAGCUCCUGCUGCAUGGUGGGGGUUGGAAAGUUUCGGCGGUUGGGGAUGGACUCGCGGCUUAUCAGCUUGUUGGUGGGGUAGUGGCUUACCAAGGCUUUGACGGGUAGCCGGCCUGAGAGGGUGACCGGCCACAUUGGGACUGAGAUACGGCCCAGACUCCUACGGGAGGCAGCAGUGGGGAAUAUUGCACAAUGGGCGGAAGCCUGAUGCAGCAACGCCGCGUGCGGGAUGACGGCCUUCGGGUUGUAAACCGCUUUCGCCUGUGACGAAGCGUGAGUGACGGUAAUGGGUAAAGAAGCACCGGCUAACUACGUGCCAGCAGCCGCGGUGAUACGUAGGGUGCGAGCGUUGUCCGGAUUUAUUGGGCGUAAAGGGCUCGUAGGUGGUUGAUCGCGUCGGAAGUGUAAUCUUGGGGCUUAACCCUGAGCGUGCUUUCGAUACGGGUUGACUUGAGGAAGGUAGGGGAGAAUGGAAUUCCUGGUGUAGCGGUGAAAUGCGUAGA
rnacentral:rRNA from 1 species